rnacentral:rRNA from 1 species
UACGGAGGGUGCAAGCGUUAUCCGGAUUCACUGGGUUUAAAGGGUUCGUAGGUGGGUUGGUAAGUCAGUGGUGAAAUCUCCGAGCUUAACUUGGAAACUGCCAUUGAUACUAUCAGUCUUGAAUAUUGUGGAGGUUAGCGGAAUAUGUCAUGUAGCGGUGAAAUGCUUAGAUAUGACAUAGAACACCAAUUGCGAAGGCAGCUGGCUACACAUAUAUUGACACUGAGGCACGAAAGCGUGGGGAUCAAACAGG